CCUACGGGUGGCAGCAGUGAGGAAUAUUGGUCAAUGGACGAGAGUCUGAACCAGCCAAGUAGCGUGAAGGAUGACUGCCCUAUGGGUUGUAAACUUCUUUUGUACGAGGGUAAACCCCGAUACGUGUAUCGGGUUGAAAGUAUCGUACGAAUAAGGAUCGGCUAACUCCGUGCCAGCAGCCGCGGUAAUACGGAGGAUCCGAGCGUUAUCCGGAUUUAUUGGGUUUAAAGGGUGCGUGGGCGGUUUGAUAAGUUAGAGGUGAAAUGUCGGGGCUCAACCCCGAAACUGCCUCUAAUACUGUUGGACUAGAGAAUAGUUGCGGUAGGCGGAAUGUAUGGUGUAGCGGUGAAAUGCUUAGAGAUCAUACAGAACACCGAUUGCGAAGGCAGCUUACCAAACUAUAUCUGACGUUGAGGCACGAAAGCGUGGGUAGCAAACAGGAUUAGAUACCCUUGUAGUC
rnacentral:rRNA from 1 species